GAUGAACGCUGGCGGCGUGCCUAAUACAUGCAAGUCGAGCGAACAGAUGAGGAGCUUGCUCCUCUGACGUUAGCGGCGGACGGGUGAGUAACACGUGGAUAACCUACCUAUAAGACUGGGAUAACUUCGGGAAACCGGAGCUAAUACCGGAUAAUAUAUUGAACCGCAUGGUUCAAUAGUGAAAGACGGUUUUGCUGUCACUUAUAGAUGGAUCCGCGUCGCAUUAGCUAGUUGGUAAGGUAACGGCUUACCAAGGCAACGAUGCGUAGCCGACCUGAGAGGGUGAUCGGCCACACUGGAACUGAGACACGGUCCAGACUCCUACGGGAGGCAGCAGUAGGGAAUCUUCCGCAAUGGGCGAAAGCCUGACGGAGCAACGCCGCGUGAGUGAUGAAGGUCUUCGGAUCGUAAAACUCUGUUAUUAGGGAAGAACAAAUGUGUAAGUAACUAUGCACGUCUUGACGGUACCUAAACAGAAAGCCACGGCUAACUACGUG
rnacentral:rRNA from 1 species